rnacentral:lncRNA from 1 species
UAACAUCCUUCAAACUGUGGGAGCUUGCUUCCUCAAUGGCUUUAAUUCUCUCUUCGAUUGCCUCGAUCUUCUCCCAAUCUUGAGGGUUCAUAACAUUGUGGGACUUAGAGGAAUGAUUGGAGUUACCAUCGUUAACUGGGGUUUCCAUAUGAAUUUUGCAAAUAUGUCUUUGGGGAUGGUGUAUCAAUAUGAGCAGCUGGUUUAUCUUCUGUAGUC